GGGCGGUUAGCUCAGUUGGGAGAGCGCUUGCUCGACAAGCAAGAGGUCACUGGUUCGAGCCCAGUACCGCCCACCA
rnacentral:tRNA from 3 species